AACCAAGCAGACCUAGAAUUUCAUCCAUGGUUUCAUUUUUAUUUAUUGAUGUUGCACUCUUGGAACAAUGAAGUGAAAUCAUGCAAUGAGAUUGGCAAAAGUGACAGUACAUCAUCAGCACAAUGUUCAGAAACAUAAGGCAACAUAACCAAAGUGACACUUGCAGAAUACGUCAUCGAGAAAAUGUUCAAAAACAUAAGGCAAUCCUAUGAAACUUUCACACUCUAAGUACCAUUAGCUACCAAAAUAUAAGAGCCACAUCCCACCUCUAAACCAUCUACUUAACUAGCUUUGCCACCAAGCAUCAAUCCCACAACAACAACAAAUAAAGCAAGUAGCACGUGCGCGAGUUUGACAUUAUGCCUAUAAUUCCCAAUUGACUUCAGCUCGGCAAUAGCCUUCUGAAGUUGUUGCUGCACCGUCUUGAGCUCAUUCCUAAUUUCUCUAAGCUCUCAGUUAGCUAUUCCUAAUUCUUCCUCCCACUUCUUUACAUACUCUUCAGCUUACACCUUCUUGUUCAUUAGCUUCACCUGAACACCCAAGGCCCUAUCA
rnacentral:lncRNA from 1 species